rnacentral:rRNA from 1 species
UGCCAGCCGCCGCGGUAAUACGGAGGGGGCUAGCGUUGUUCGGAAUUACUGGGCGUAAAGCGCACGUAGGCGGACUAUUAAGUCAGGGGUGGAAUCCCGGGGCUCAACCCCGGAACUGCCUUUGGAACUGGUAUGCUAGAGUUCGAUGGGGGGUGGUGGAAUUCCUAGUGUAGAGGUGAAAUUCGUAGAUAUUAGGAGGAACACCAGUGGCGAAGGCGGCCACCUGGAUCGAUACUGACGCUAAUGUGCGAAAGCGUGGGGAGCAAACAGGAUUAGAUA